UACAAGAUAAUACAUCUUAUGUCAAUACAUUUAGAAUCAGUAUAUUUGGAGACGUCGUCGAUAGAAAUAGUGUUUCAAAUUUAUAUAUAAUCAACAAUGAUAAUUAUAAAAUGGUACGUAAAGACAAGGAAACCUUUGAAGAAAAAAAGAAAAUUCUUAUAAAUUUAUUUAAAUAAUAAGUGGAAAACGUUAAGUGAAAUUUAUAAAAUUAUAGAUGAGAUCAUGGUCUACGAAUGAAGGAAUUAUUGAAAAAUAUGGAGAUCAAAACUCUUUAAAAAAAUAAUCCAUAGAAAGUAAACGCAAAAUAAUAAAGUAUGUAGAAACGAUUAGAAUUUUCGAAAGACUAAAUCAAUAUUCCUAUGAAGUAUUAAAAUCAUUAUUAUAUUUACUAAUGAAAGUAUAUUUAACAUAUUUAUAUCGGAUGGAUGACAUACUAUUUGGAGAGAAAAAAAUACUGAAUAUAUGUAAAACUAUUUCUAGACGUCCGUAAAACAUGAAAGAGACUCGAUUACAGUUCGGAGUUGGAUAAAUGCAAAAAUACUUGAAUUUUUUUAUUUUAUUGAAGGUAACAUAACAUUAAUAUUAAAUAUUUUAAAACAACAUCUUCAAGCUAAUGCAAAUAAAAUUGGAUUACAGGACAAUUAUAUAUCUUUUUACAAGAUAAUAAUUUAAAACUCGCUUACAAUAUGCGACAAUGGAUCUUGUAUAAAAUA